UGAUCGCGGAUUAUGGGUGGCGCAGUAUCCUAGUCAGUACUACCUUUUCCGAAGGCGGGCCUAAAAAUCCGCAAAGGGCACAUUCGAUGACGUCUCUGGUGCUGGCCGCCGAUGCCCAAUCGGGGGUUGGUGCUGGGGAUUCAGCGAACCGGGCCGUUCUGGUCCGACGCUGCCGGAUUGAGGGCGACCCGCAACGGCAUGCGGGCCCCGACCCUCCUUCCGUGGAGGCCUGCACGCGCGGCGGUCGCGCCAAUGUGAGCGAUGCGGCUGCGGUGCAGUGUAGACCUGCAUGCGGUACCGAAACAUGGUGAGGUGCUGGGUGCAGCGUAGCCUGCCUUGAGUGGGCGUGGCGGAUGCGACCGUGGGCGUAAUGGCCCGGUAACCCCUGCCGGACGCCGGCCAGCUGAGGGCGGGGGCGAUGGAAGCUGAAACCACGCCUGCAAAAGAGGCUAGGAAAAGGUGUGUUGUCGAAGAAAAUUCCUAGGCUGCUCGAAAGAGGUCUGGCAAGGAUUGUAGUGUGGUCUAAGUGGUAAUCCAGCCCUGCCGGUGGCGACACGGCAGCUGGGCCAUAAAGGGAAACCGCCGUGGCGGCGACGCUGCGGAGGCCCUGGGGAAAUCCUGCUGGACCUAAGCCACAAGAUUUACUUGCCAGGCUGCCACCCAUAAUUUUAUGUAU
rnacentral:sRNA from 24 species